AUACGGAGGUGGCUAGCGUUGUUCGGAAUUACUGGGCGUAAAGCGCACGUAGGCGGCUUUGUAAGUCAGAGGUGAAAGCCUGGAGCUCAACUCCAGAACUGCCUUUGAGACUGCAUCGCUUGAAUCCAGGAGAGGUCAGUGGAAUUCCGAGUGUAGAGGUGAAAUUCGUAGAUAUUCGGAAGAACACCAGUGGCGAAGGCGGCUGACUGGACUGGUAUUGACGCUGAGGUGCGAAAGCGUGGGGAGCAAACAGGAUUAGAAACCCCAGUAGUCC
rnacentral:rRNA from 1 species